rnacentral:rRNA from 1 species
UACGAAGGGGGCGAGCGUUGUUCGGAUUUACUGGGCGUAAAGGGCGCGCAGGCGGCGCAUUUUGUCAGGCGUGAAAGCCCCCGGGCUUAACCUGGGAACUGCGUUUGAUACGGAUGGGCUAGAGUUCGGGAGAGGAGAGUGGAAUUCCCAGUGUAGAGGUGAAAUUCGUAGAUAUUGGGAAGAACACCGGUGGCGAAGGCGGCUCUCUGGACCGAGACUGACGCUGAGGCGCGAAAAGCGUGGGGAGCAAACAGG